rnacentral:lncRNA from 1 species
UAUAUCACACUCCAAACUUUUUCUGUACAACACAGAACGUCACACGGCAAAAUUGAGAUACAGAUAGUCCUUCGACAUUGCAUCAGUUUUAACUCUAGUCUGUGCUUAAAUUACUGCGGUAUAUGUUUCUGGUUGUCUGUCCCCGUAUACGAACUAGCUGCAGAAGUAACAUUGGGAUCCCACGCCCGACGAGUUUGCAUUUGUAGGAAGAGCAAGCCAGAAGGUUCGUUAUGGCAACGACUACUGCCUACAAAGUCUUCUGAUGAAGUAGCAGAGCUAAUUUACAACAGCCCGACGGGCAUUUUCUGGUAUUACAUUACCUGGAUCUCCUCAAUAAUCUACAGCUU